AGCAGUAGCCACGGGAAUACGGAGGGGGCUAGCGUUGUUCGGAAUUACUGGGCGUAAAGGGCGCGUAGGCGGCGGCCAAAGUCAGGCGUGAAAUUCCCGGGCUCAACCUGGGGGCUGCGUUUGAUACUUGGUUGCUUGAGUGGGGAAGAGGGUCGUGGAAUUCCCAGUGUAGAGGUGAAAUUCGUAGAUAUUGGGAAGAACACCGGUGGCGAAGGCGGCGACCUGGUCCUUUACUGACGCUGAGGCGCGAAAGCGUGGGGAGCAAACAGGAUUAGAGACCCGUGUAGUCCCUGUCUCUUAUAC
rnacentral:rRNA from 1 species